GCGAUUUGGGCUGUGGUUUUUGAUGCCCGCGCCGUUGUGACUGGAGGUGGCGGAGGAGGAGGAGGGGGUGGAACUGUGAGGAUCUUCUUACUCUUUCCCUUUUUGGAUGAGAACAAAUUAGGGAAAAGUGGCGGCGGCGGCGGCGGUGGCGGUGGAGGCGGCGAUGGUGAUGGCAGAAAACUGAUUGGAGCUUGAGGUUGAAUUAGGGUUUCGAAAUUUUCAACGCUUUUCUGCCUUUGCUUCUUCUUCUUCUUCUUCUUCUGAUGGUAGAGUGAGGUCAAGAACUCUUUAGUCGCAUUACCGCCGCUUCUUUUCCCAUCGCUUUUGCCGCUCUUCUUCUCCCAAUCCACCGGCGGAGGUGGUGGCGGAGGUGGUGUCACCGCCGGUAACAUUAUGGUUUUCGUGGUUUCUGAUCCUUUCACUUGUGCAACGCUUUCAUAAGUUCUCUUUGGUUUCCGAUGAACAGCAGUUGCUCGCGGUGGCGGAAGCGGCGGAGACGACGGUGG
rnacentral:lncRNA from 1 species